rnacentral:misc_RNA from 1 species
AAAUGCGAUAAGUAGUGUGAAUUGCAGAAUUCAGUGAAUCAUCGAAUCUUUGAAAGCACAUUGCGCCCCUUGGUAUUCCAUGGGGCAUGCCUGUUCGAGCGUCAUUUGUACCCUCAAGCUCUGCUUGGUGUUGGGUGUUUGUCCCCGUCUCCGCGCGUGGACUCGCCCCAAAGUGAUUGGCAGCCGGCGUACUGGUCCCGGAGCGCAGCACAUGUCGCGCAAACGAGUGCCUUGGUACGGCGGCGUCCAUAAGCCCCUCUCUCACGCUCUUGACCUCGGAUCAGGUAGGGAUACCCGCUGAACUUAAGC